CGGCAGCUGGCGUGCGCGCUCCCGUCCGGCGCUGGCCUCCGCGGUGACUUCGACGGGAUUUUGUGAGCCAUAAGAUGAACAGCUCUGCACUGCCACACCACACACUCCCUGCCAUGGAGUGCUUCCUGGUCCCAGAGCCCAAAGCAGCAGGGCCUCCUAUUGUGGACCGGAAUCUGCAAAACCUGUUUGCCCUGAAGUUGGAAGACUGACUGUAUGGUGCUUCCCAAGAACACUUGCUGCAAGGCUGAAUUUUUGGAGAAAGACUUUGAGGCUGACCAGACAUGCAGGAGGCUGAUUAGAGACUGCUCUUGGGACAGAGGCCCGUGGAAAAGGAUUGAAGUGGGAGAAGGGGAAUGGGGGGAAGAGAUCUGAGAUGCAAAUCCCCUUGGGAAAUGUGAAACUAGGGAGAGGGUGUUGAGCCUUCACACCCUCAUCCCUGUCUGUCAUUGGAUGCAGGCCACCCCAGGAAGGGAGUGUACCCUGAGGCAGGGAGAGCACAUGGCCUGUUGCUGGGUAAAGAGUUUCUGCCUCUGAUGGGGGCCUAAGGCACGCAACAGUGCAUGCAUCACAGUCCCCCUCUUACUGCAUGGACCCUUCCUCCAUCCACGUCUGGGAGCUGCUUCUCCAGGAUCCAGGUAAACCCCUCCUCCCAGCAGAAACCCAAAAGGGAAGAGAAGGGAAUGUGGAGGAAAUCAGCAAUGGUGAGGCCAUUGCACCUGGUCUUGGGACCCCACUGAUACCUGUUGUUUCCCUCCUUUACAUUGAGUCCAUGGCCAACACACUAUACUUUCUGCCUUAGCAGAAACUUUAUCUACUGCACAUAUUUCCCUGUAAGGCACAGUGCCACUUUCUCACACUUGGGAACACUAGACAGCACUUCAGCCCUGCAGAUGGGAGACAUUUUAAAUGACAACAUCAACAAAACCCACAAAACUGCAAAAGAAUGUGUCACUAAAUGAACCGUGAGGAGGACACCUAUUUGUAGCAGGAAAGCUGAAACAUGAAAGCAGAGUGUCACCUGUUCCAGCAGAGUGUGGCAGCAUCCACCUCAGCUCCAGGAGAGUUGACUCAAACUUUUUGCCACCCUACACAUACACAUGGUCUUGAAAGCCUGCAGAAGGGCCCUUGGUAUUGAUUUUGAAGUUAUAAAUAAAUUUUAGUUUGUGGUGAAUCUUUAAACACAGAAUCCAAGCCAGGCAUGUUGCUGGACACUUAUAAUCUGAGCACUCUGGGAGGCAGAGACAGGAAGAUUGCAAGUUUGAGCCCAGCCUGGAAAACUUAGUGAGACUCAGAGAGACCCUGUCUACAAAUAAAAAAGUAAAAAGAGCUGGGACUGUAGCUCAGUGCAAAAGCUCUGGGUUAAAUCCCUAGUACUAGGAAAAAACAAAAAACAAUCCAAGAAUAAUAAGGAUUGCACACAUAUAUAGGUUUGACAUGUUAGAUAAAAGGAUAUAUCUCUCAAGAGACAAAAAAUGAAAUAAAAAUCAGAAGCCAGGCAUGGUAGUGCAUGCCUGGAAUCC